GACGAACGCUGGCGGCGUGCCUAAUACAUGCAAGUCGAGCGGACAGAAGGGAGCUUGCUCCCGGAAGUCAGCGGCGGACGGGUGAGUAACACGUGGGCAACCUGCCCUGCAGAUUGGGAUAACUCCGGGAAACCGGGGCUAAUACCGAAUAACAUUGGAAACCUCAUGGUUUCCUUUUAAAAGGCGGCUUCGGCUGUCACUGCAGGAUGGGCCCGCGGCGCAUUAGCUAGUUGGUGAGGUAACGGCUCACCAAGGCGACGAUGCGUAGCCGACCUGAUAGGGUGAUCGGCCACACUGGGACUGAGACACGGCCCAGACUCCUACGGGAGGCAGCAGUAGGGAAUAUUCCGCAAUGGACGAAAGUCUGACGGAGCAGCGCCGCGUGAGUGAAGAAGGUUUUCGGAUCGUAAAACUCUGUUGUCAGGGAAGAACAAGUACGGUAGUAACUGCCCGUACCUUGACGGUACCUGGCCAGAAAGCCACGGCUAACUACGUGCCAGCCGCCGCAGUAAAAC
rnacentral:rRNA from 1 species